rnacentral:rRNA from 2 species
UGGGGAAUAUUGCACAAUGGGGGAAACCCUGAUGCAGCCAUGCCGCGUGUGUGAAGAAGGCCUUCGGGUUGUAAAGCACUUUCAGCGAGGAGGAAAGGUCAGUAGCUAAUAUCUGCUGGCUGUGACGUUACUCGCAGAAGAAGCACCGGCUAACUCCGUGCCAGCAGCCGCGGUAAUACGGAGGGUGCAAGCGUUAAUCGGAAUUACUGGGCGUAAAGCGCACGCAGGCGGUUGGAUAAGUUAGAUGUGAAAGCCCCGGGCUCAACCUGGGAAUUGCAUUUAAAACUGUCCAGCUAGAGUCUUGUAGAGGGGGGUAGAAUUCCAGGUGUAGCGGUGAAAUGCGUAGAGAUCUGGAGGAAUACCGGUGGCGAAGGCGGCCCCCUGGACAAAGACUGACGCUCAGGUGCGAAAGCGUGGGGAGCAAACA